rnacentral:rRNA from 1 species
CAGCCGCCACGGUAAUACGUAGGUGGCAAGCGUUGUCCGGAAUUAUUGGGCGUAAAGGGCUCGCAGGCGGUUUCUUAAGUCUGAUGUGAAAGCCCCCGGCUUAACCGGGGAGGGUCAUUGGAAACUGGGAAACUUGAGUGCAGAAGAGGAGAGUGGAAUUCCACGUGUAGCGGUGAAAUGCGUAGAGAUGUGGAGGAACGCCAGUGGCGAAGGCGACUCUCUGGUCUGUAACUGACGCCGAGGAGCGAAAGCGUGGGGAGCGAACAGGAUUAGAUACCCGCGUAGUCCCUGUCUCUUAUAC